UAUGUAAUCUGCCCUUAAUUGGGAAAUAGCUUCGAGAAAUCGGAAUUAAUGUCCCAUAGCACUGCGAAGAGGCAUCUCUUUGCAAUUAAAGCUUUUGCGAUUAAGGAUGAACAUGCGUGAUAUUAGUUUGUUGGUGAGGUAACGGCUCACCAAGACUACGAUGUCUAAGGGGUCUGAAAGGAUGAUCCCUCACACUGGUACUGAGACACGGACCAGACUCCUACGGGAGGCAGCAGUGAGGAAUAUUGGGCAAUGGACGCAAGUCUGACCCAGCCAUGCCGCGUGCAGGAUGAAGGCUCUAUGAGUCGUAAACUGCUUUUGCACGAGAAGAAAUUAUCUUACGCGUUAAGGUAUUGACGGUAUCGUGUGAAUAAGCAUCGGCUAACUCCGUGCCAGCAGCCGCGGUAAUACGGAGGAUGCAGGCGUUAUCCGGAUUUACUAGGUUUAAAGGGUGCGUAGGCGGGAUAGUAAGUCAGUGGUGAAAUCCUUCAGCUUAACUGAAGAACUGCCAUUGAAACUAUUGUCCUAGAGUGCAGUUGAGGUAGGCGGAAUGUGUAGUGUAGCGGUGAAAUGCUUAGAUAUUACACAGAACUCCGAUUGCGAAGGCAGCUUGCUAAACUGUAACUGACGCUGAGGCACGAAAGCGUGGGGAUCAAACAGGAUUAGAUACCCUGGUAGUCCACGCCGUAAACGUUGAUUACUCGUUGUUGGCGAUACACAGUCAGCGACUAAGCGAAAGCAUUAAGUAAUCCACCUGGGGAGUACGACCGCAAGGUUGAAACUCAAAGGAAUUGACGGGGGCCCGCACAAGCGGAGGAACAUGUGGUUUAAUUCGAUGAUACGCGAGGAACCUUACCUGGGCUUGAACUCAGUUUGACAGCUGUUGAAAGAUGGUUUCCCUUCGGGGCAGAUUGAGAGGUGCUGCAUGGUUGUCGUCAGCUCGUGCCGUGAGGUGUCGGCUUAAGUGCCAUAACGAGCGCAACCCCUAUUGUUAGUUGCCAGCGGGUAAUGCCGGGAACUCUAAUAAGACUGCCAGCGUAAGCUGUGAGGAAGGUGGGGAUGACGUCAAAUCAGCACGGCCCUUACGUCCAGGGCUACACACGUGUUACAAUGGCCAGUACAAAGGGCAGCUACUUGGUGACAAGAUGCUAAUCUCUAAAACUGGUCUCAGUUCGGAUCGAAGUCUGCAACUCGACUUCGUGAAGCCGGAUUCGCUAGUAAUCGCACAUCAGCAACGGUGCGGUGAAUACGUUCCCGGGCCU
rnacentral:rRNA from 1 species